rnacentral:rRNA from 1 species
UACGAAGGGGGCUAGCGUUGCUCGGAAUCACUGGGCGUAAAGCGCACGUAGGCGGCUUUUAAGUCAGAGGUGAAAUCCUGGAGCUCAACUCCAGAACUGCCUUUGAUACUGGAGAGCUUGAGUCCGGGAGAGGUGAGUGGAACUGCGAGUGUAGAGGUGAAAUUCGUAGAUAUUACGGCGGAACACCAGUGGCGAAGGCGACUCACUGGCCCGA